rnacentral:rRNA from 1 species
UUGGGAAUCUUGGACAAUGGGGGAAACCCUGAUCCAGCCAUGCCGCGUGAGUGAUGAAGGCCUUCGGGUUGUAAAACUCUUUCGACGGGGACGAUAAUGACGGUACCCGUAGAAGAAGCUCCGGCUAACUUCGUGCCAGCAGCCGCGGUAAUACGAAGGGGGCUAGCGUUGUUCGGAAUUACUGGGCGUAAAGCGCGCGCAGGCGGUUUUCCAAGUCAGUGGUGAAAGCCCGGAGCUCAACUCCGGAACUGCCAUUGAAACUGGCGAACUUGAGUACGAGAGUGGUGAGUGGAAUUCCCAGUGUAGAGGUGAAAUUCGUAGAUAUUGGGAAGAACACCGGUGGCGAAGGCGGCUCACUGGCUCGUAACUGACGCUCAGGCGCGACAGCGUGGGGAUCAAACA